UUCCGGUUGAUCCUGCCGGAGGUCACUGCUAUUGGGAUUCGACUAAGCCAUGCGAGUCGAGAGGGUUCGGCCCUCGGCAGACUGCUCAGUAACACGUGGAUAAUCUGCCCUUAGGUGGAGGAUAACCUUGGGAAACUGAGAAUAAUACUCCAUAGAUCUAAGAUGCUGGAAUGCAUUUAGAUUGAAAGCUCCGGCGCCUAAGGAUGAGUCUGCGGACUAUCAGGUUGUAGUCAGGGUAAGGACCUGACUAGCCUACAACGGAUACGGGUUGUGAGAGCAAUAACCCGGAGACGAUAUCUGAGACACGAUAUCGGGCCCUACGGGGCGCAGCAGGCGCGAAACCUUCACAAUGUGCGAAAGCGCGAUGAGGGGAUCCCAAGUGCUUGCACUUAAGUGUAAGCUGUUUCUUUGUUUAAAAUGCAGAGAGAGGAAGGGCUGGGUAAGACGGGUGCCAGCCGCCGCGGUAAUACCUGCAGCUCAAGUGGUGACCGCUAUUAUUGGGCCUAAAACGUUCGUAGCCGGCUGAGUAAAUGCUUGGGUAAAUCGUGCCGCUUAACGGUACGAAUUCCGGGUAGACUGCUCAGCUUGAGACCGGGAGAAGCUAGAGGUACUCCUGGGGUAGAGGUGAAAUUCUGUAAUCCUGGGGGGACCACCAGUGGCGAAGGCGUCUAGCUAGAACGGGUCUGACGGUGAGGGACGAAACCCUGGGGCGCAAACCGGAUUAGAUACCCGGGUAGUCCAGGGCGCAAACGCUGCUUGCUUGAUGUUAGCUGGGCUCCGGGCUCAGCUAGUGUCGGAGAGAAGUUGUUAAGCAAGCUGCCUGGGAAGUACGAUCGCAAGAUUGAAACUUAAAGGAAUUGGCGGGGGAGCACAGCAACGGGUGGAGCGUGCGGUUUAAUUGGAUUCAACGCCGGG
rnacentral:rRNA from 1 species